rnacentral:rRNA from 1 species
CCUACGGGAGGCAGCAGUAGGGAAUCUUGCUCAAUGGGGGAAACCCUGAAGCAGCAACGCCGCGUGGAGGAUGAAGGUUUUCGGAUUGUAAACUCCUUUUGUUAGAGAAGAUAAUGCCGGUAUCUAACGAAUAAGCACCGGCUAACUCCGUGCCAGCAGCCGCGGUAAUACGGAGGGGGCAAGCGUUACUCGGAAUCACUGGGCGUAAAGGGCGCGUAGGCGGGAUAGCAAGUCAGAUGUGAAAUCCUAUGGCUUAACCAUAGAACUGCAUUUGAAACUGUUAUUCUAGAGUACAGGAGAGGUAGGUGGAAUUCUUGGUGUAGGGGUAAAAUGCGUAGAGAUCAAGAGGAAUAC